CGUGGGUAACCUGCCCAAGAGAUCGGGAUAACACCUGGAAACAGAUGCUAAUACCGGAUAACAACAGAUGAUGCCUAUCAACUGUUUAAAAGAUGGUUCUGCUAUCACUCUUGGAUGGACCUGCGGUGCAUUAGCUAGUUGGUAGGGUAACGGCCUACCAAGGCGAUGAUGCAUUGCCGAGUUGAGAGACUGAUCGGCCACAUUGGGACUGAGACACGGCCCAAACUCCUACGGGAGGCAGCAGCC
rnacentral:rRNA from 1 species